CCAAGACUACAUGCCAUCAUCGGAGCCCAAUU
rnacentral:piRNA from 1 species